rnacentral:rRNA from 1 species
AAACCAACCGGGAUUGCCUCAGUAACGGCGAGUGAAGCGGCAAAAAGCUCAAAUUUGAAAUCUCCGUAAGGCGAGUUGUAAUUUGAAGAGGGUACUUUGGGGCGGCGCCUUGUCUAUGUUCCUUGGAACAGGACGUCACAGAGGGUGAGAAUCCCGUGCGAUGAGGAGAGCCGUUCUAUGUAAAGUUCCUUCGACGAGUCGAGUUGUUUGGGAAUGCAGCUCUAAGUGGGUGGUAAAUUCCAUCUAAAGCUAAAUAUUGGCGAGAGACCGAUAGCGAACAAGUACAGUGAUGGAAAGAUGAAAAGCACUUUGAAAAGAGAGUGAAAAAGUACGUGAAAUUGUUGAAAGGGAAGGGCUUGAGAUCAGACUUGGUGACUCGUCACUGGGGCCAGCAUCGGGUUCGGGCGGCAGGGAGAAUGCCGCGGGAAAAGUGGGCUCGUUCUUCGGGGAGAGUGUUAUAGGCCCGCGGAGAUACCUGCCUGGCGUGGACCGAGGACUGCGGCAACUGGAUGCUGGC